CACUCAGUAGAUCUCUACUGGUCGGGAGAGCGGAAAGCCCGCCGAAAUAGCUUUCGGCAGCUGGCGCGCGAGUACGCUCUCUGUCUGCACCCUUGUCUUUUUGCGUACUCAUGUUUCCUCGGCGGGCUCGCCCGCCGUUUGGACACCUCAACCACCUUUUUGAAUUUUCAAUCAGCGUCUGAAUAACUUUAAUAAUUA
rnacentral:misc_RNA from 1 species